GGCUGAUCCGAGUGCGGUGGUGUUUAUAACUUACUGGUUACAACCAGUUACAGAUUUCUGUUUCUUGUCUACUCCCACUGUUUCAUUUGGCUAGCCUAAA
ensembl:misc_RNA Y_RNA Y RNA